rnacentral:rRNA from 1 species
UACGGAGGGAGCUAGCGUUAUUCGGAAUUACUGGGCGUAAAGCGCACGUAGGCGGCUUUGCAAGUUAGAGGUGAAAGCCCGGGGCUCAACUCCGGAAUUGCCUUUAAAACUGCAUCGCUAGAAUUGUGGAGAGGUAAGUGGAAUUCCGAGUGUAGAGGUGAAAUUCGUAGAUAUUCGGAAGAACACCAGUGGCGAAGGCGACUUACUGGACACAUAUUGACGCUGAGGUGCGAAAGCGUGGGGAGCGAACAGG